GGCGAUGCGGGGCAGAGGGCCGAGGUAAUACGCGGGGUGGUAGAGUUGCGAGGAAGCACUGGGCUUAAAGCUCACGUAGGCGGCGUCUUAAGUCAGGGGUGAAAUCCGGGAGCUCAACUCCAGAACUGCCUUUGAUACUGGGAAGCUCGAGUCCGGGAGAGGUGAGUGGAACUCCGAGUGUAGAGGUGAAAUUCGUAGAUAUUCGGAAGAACACCAGUGGCGAAGGCGGCUCACUGGCCCGGUACUGACGCUGAGGUGCGAAAGCGUGGGGAGCAAACAGGAUUAGAUACCCCAGUAGUC
rnacentral:rRNA from 1 species